GAGUUUGAUCCUGGCUCAGGACGAACGCUGGCGGCGUGCUUAACACAUGCAAGUCGAGCGGAGACAAUUGACUUCGGUUGAUUGUUUUAGCGGCGGACGGGUGAGUAACGCGUGAGCAAUCUGUCCCAGACAGGGGGAUAACACUUGGAAACAGGUGCUAAUACCGCAUAAGACCACGAGAUCACAUGGUUUCGGGGUAAAAGGAGGAAUCCGGUUUGGGGUGAGCUCGCGUCCGAUUAGCUAGUUGGUGAGGUAACGGCCCACCAAGGCGACGAUCGGUAGCCGACCUGAGAGGGUGAUCGGCCACAUUGGAACUGAGAAACGGUCCAAACUCCUACGGGAGGCAGCAGUGGGGAAUAUUGGGCAAUGGGCGAAAGCCUGACCCAGCAACGCCGCGUGAGGGAAGAAGGUUUUCGGAUUGUAAACCUCUGUCCUCAGGGACGAAGGAAGUGACGGUACCUGAGGAGGAAGCCCCGGCUAACUACGUGCCAGCCGCCGCGGUAAUUC
rnacentral:rRNA from 1 species